AGGAGCUGUUGAUUGUGUUCCCGUAGUUUGUUGGCAGGGAUCUCUGGCAUGGUAUUCAGUCCUGAUGAGUUGUGUGACCUGCGUCAGCCUGUGAGCCUCCUUACUGCCUCGACAAUGGAGUGGAGAUAGUGACGACAUCUACCAUCUUGUAAAACCUCUCCAGGGGAUAUCAUGGAGGCCUUUGGGCCGGUCAUGCUGUACUUGCUCCAAGUCCAGGAGAACGAAAAGAAUGACAAACCCCAACCAAAGCUGAAGAAGAACCUUAGGCCACCACCUGUAGAAAAACCUCGGCCUAAGCCAAAACGGCCCCCGGCACCCAAGCCUCAGGUGCUUGGAAUCAGGCGGCCAAGGAUAUUCAGGGAGCGCACAGGGAUGGAAGGACUGACGGAUGCGGAGGUCUUUGAAAGGUUUAGACUCACCAAAAGCACCAUUAUAGACUUGUACGAGUUAAUAAGGUCCGACAUUGACCCGCUGACCCAAAGGAGCCACGCCAUUCCUGGGAUCGUGAAACUGUUGAACUGUCUACACUUCUUCUCUUCCGGAUCAUUUCAAACCAAAGCCUCGGCCAUCGGUGGUGUCUCGCAGUCCACCUUCUCUCGGUUCCUGGUGCCGGUUAUCCAGGCCUUGAAGAAACAUGUGCACACCUUCAUCAGCUUUCCCAAAGACAAGGCCGGGUGGCAGAAACUGAAAAGCGACUUCUAUCAAGUGGCCGGCGUCCCGCAUGUUAUGGGAGUUCUGGAUUGUAUGCCCAUUGCGGUAUCGGCACCGCACGAGAGAGAGGAUAUGUAUAGGAAUAAAGAGGGCUACCAUUCGGUCAACGUGCAGAUGAUUGUCGACAGCAACUGCAAAAUUCUCAGCCUGUUCUCUGCCUUUCCCGGGAGUUCCCAGAAUUCCUCCAUCCUGAGACAGUCCUCGGUGUACGAGGGGUUCGAGAGCGGUCGGCUGAGCGGUGGGUGGCUGUUGGGUGGUCCUGUGUACGCAUGCCGCCCAUGGCUGUUGACACCAGUCCCAGAACCCAGCACCUCAGGUGAGACCGCCUACAACGAGGCUAACGACAGGACUCGGGAUAUCAUAGACGAAACCUUUAAGAUACUGAAAACCCGGUUCAAAUGUUUGGACAAGUCUGGGGGCGGCCUGCAGUACGACCCCACUAAAGUGUCCGACAUCAUCGUGGCCUGCUGCAUCCUACACAACAUCUCCAUCCUUCACAACAUUCCGCUCAAGACAGAGGAGCCCUCCAGCCGCAAGAGGAAGCCGAUGCCAGAGCUCCAACCGCCUCCGAAAGGAAACGCUCAGGAUGUCCGCGCCAGGGUGGUCGAACAAUACUUCUCCUAAACUCUCCUGAAUUUGAAGACAGUCUGCGUGAAAUUUUUUAUUUUUGAAGAUUUUCUGUGGAUAAUAUUUGAGUUCAUGCGAGGAUGGAGGACACAGGAGGUGUCAGUGCCCGGACAGAGUGCUGCACCGCCUUGUCCUGUUAAUUCUGUGGACCGUCCAUCCUGAAAUGUUUGAAAAUGGACUCAACCCCUUUACUGUUGGAGAUGGACCGGCAUUGCCACAUCAGUUUGGCAUUGGAUGAUCCCCCCUGACUACUACUACAGUGACAACACUACAUUAUUGUAAAUGAACUGAUCCAAGGACACCUCUGCGGUGCGGAUGGUAGACCGGCUUUGGGGAAUCCCCUGCAGUGUUAAGUAAACUGAUGAUCCAGUUGCAUAUGUAAGUUCCUAAUAGACUGAACCAUGAAGGCCCCUGUGGACCAGUUCUGGGGUUUUUCAAUAAUUUUUUUUUUUUUUUUGAUCCAGAGUUUCCUUUCAGGACAUUCCUUUGUUACUGGGAAGGGACUAAUCCAGGAACAGGCCUGGAAUUCUGGAAAUGGGACUGACCCCCGUCCUCGCAGUGAUAUAUAUGCAGAGUCCUAGAUUUAUCACGAGAGGGCUACAUGUCACCUCUAGACUUACCUUCGGUACAAUAAAUAAGAUUACGCUCUGGUAUCAUCACUCCUGUACCCCACGUACAUGGACUAAUCUGAAGCUCCCUCAUCAAUCCUAGGCUGGACUGUACCAAGACCAUUGGAUGGAGCUGGUGACAUGAACUCGAUAAAACGUUAGCACUUAUUAUUUUGAUAUUUGCCUUUAUGUAGAGAAGAGCUGACUAGAUGUGUGUAGGCACUUGAGCGACUAAAGUACAGAGAGCUGGGCAGGUCACCGAUCGGCUUUAGGGCUUGUGUAUGCGGGUAUCGUCUUCCCAUGUUUGAGGUGCAUUCUAAACGCAUGGCGCGUUAAUCAUAGGUUAGCAGAUUCCCAUUUAGCUCAAUGGUGCGGUAAUAAAUGGUGACCGCCAUGGAGCAACUGAACUCCCAGUAACACGUGCUAGUUCAAGAUGGUGUGUGUAUGUUUUUUUUUUUUUUUUUUUUCUAAAUAGCAGUAAGCUUUAUUGACACCAGGAAAUAGAGCAAGCAAGGUCACUUAGACUUUUUCUGGCCUGCCCAACGUGCUGCUACCACGGUGCUUGGCCUUCUGGGAUCCACCUCCUCCCUGCAGUACAUGCUAAGUUCAAGCCACUUUUUAUUUUUUUCUCCCAAAUCGCAGUAAACUUUAUGGACACCAGGCAAGGGAGCGAAAGAGCAAACAAGGUCACUCAUACGUAUUUUUCCCUGCCCAGUGU